rnacentral:miRNA from 1 species
AAGUCUGUGUCUGUAAACAUCCCCGACUGGAAGCUGUAGGACACAGCCUAGCUUUCAGUCAGAUGUUUGCUGCUACCGACUC